rnacentral:lncRNA from 1 species
CUUGGGUGCGCCCAUAGCGUCCAGCGCCGCCUUCACCUUGCCGUACACCUCCUUUGGGGGAGGGACAGCGCUGAUCACGUGGCACUUGCCCUGCGCAAGGUAGUGGUCCUUCACAGGCAGCGACUGAUCCAGGAAGGUGCGGAAGCGCUUGCGAAUGGUGUCGGCGUUGUCGUCGCUGCGGCCGCUGGUCUCCCCGCGCUUCAGCAGGCGCUUCUCCAUCUCCUCCUCCGGGCAGUCGAAGAACAGCACCGUCUUGCACGGCAUGAUGCUGCUCUCAAACUGCUCCGCCUGGUCCAGCGCGCGUGGAAAGCCGUCGAUGAGGAAGAACUUGCCGCCGCUGGCUAUCAUGUCCCGCUUCAGCAGGUUGAGCGUGACAGCCACCGGCACGAGCUUGCCCUCCUUCAUCAGCGCCUCGCACUUCUGGCCGACCUCGCUGCCGCUCUUCACCUCAGCGCGCAGCAGGUCGCCGGCGCUGAGGUGCACGCACUCAUACUCCUCCUUGAUCUGAUCGCAUUGCGUGCCCUUGCCGCUGCCGGGGCCGCCGAGCACGAACACGAUCUGGGCAUCGGCGGGCAGGCUGCCAGGCACAGGCGGCAGCGCAAUCUCCUGCGGGCACGUGCAGCCGAGGACAUUCAGGUUAGGACCGAAUGGCACCAGCCGCAAUCAGAUGCUACGAAACAAAAGCUAUUACUUCCAUGCGGAGAUUAAUUGGCACAGCUGCUAUCCGUUUCCCGCCCCAGCAGCCCCGCAUUAUAGUCAAAAACGCCGUACAACGCAUCCCGGCUUUCCCUUACCUCUGAAACCGCAGCAGCCGCCUUCUUCGGCGCGUGCAAGCCCUCCAACACCACCUUCACCUUGCCGUACACAUCGUCCGGAGCCGCCACAGCGCUGAUCACGUGGCACUUGCCCUGCGCAAGGUAGUGGUCCUUCACAGGCAGCGACUGCUCCAGGAAGGUGUGGAAGCGCUUGCGAAUGGUGUCGGCGUUGUCGUCGCUGCGGCCGCUGGUCUCCCCGCGCUUCAGCAGGCGCUUCUCCAUCUCCUCCUCCGGGCAGUCAAAGAACAGCACCGUCUUGCACGGCAUAAUGCUGCUCUCAAACUGCUCCGCCUGGUCCAGCGCGCGCGGAAAGCCGUCGAUGAGGAAGAACUUGCCACCGCUGGCUAUCAUGUCCCGCUUCAGCAGGUUGAGCGUGACAGCCACCGGCACGAGCUUGCCCUCCUUCAUCAGCGCCUCGCACUUCUGGCCGACCUCGCUGCCGCUCUUCACCUCAGCGCGCAGCAGGUCGCCGGCGCUGAGGUGCACGCACUCGUAGUCGGCCUUAAUCUUGUCGCAUUGCGUGCCCUUGCCGCUGCCGGGGCCGCCGAGCACGAACACGAUCUGGGCAUCGGCAGGCAGGCUGCCAGGCACAGGCGGCAGCGCGAUGUCCUGUUGCAUGAACGGAGAGCACAGAAGGAGGCAAGACGUUUCAGUUUUACAGUGACCAAACAUCCACUUGGCGCUACGGCCCGAGUGCUUCCCAAAGCACCCAUAGCAUCCUGCUGUCGCAUACAGCGCUGUGCGCAUCCCGAAAUUAAAGCCCCAACAAUUGGACAUAAGACAAGCCCAUGUCCAUUCACGACCCAAAUCUACGUGCUCAGGUCACGGCGCCGCAAAGUCCACCCAAGCAAAGCCCCACCCACCUCGGACUUCUUGGGUGCGCCCAUAGCGUCCAGCGCCGCCUUCACCUUGCCGUACACUUCCUUUGGGGGAGGGACAGCGCUGAUCACGUGGCACUUGCCCUGCGCAAGGUAGUGGUCCUUCACAGGCAGCGACUGAUCCAGGAAGGUGCGGAAGCGCUUGCGAAUGGUGUCGGCGUUGUCGUCGCUGCGGCCGCUGGUCUCCCCGCGCUUCAGCAGGCGCUUCUCCAUCUCCUCCUCCGGGCAGUCAAAGAACAGCACCGUCUUGCACGGCAUGAUGCUGCUCUCAAACUGCUCCGCCUGGUCCAGCGCGCGUGGAAAGCCGUCGAUGAGGAAGAACUUGCCGCCGCUGGCUAUCAUGUCCCGCUUCAGCAGGUUGAGCGUGACAGCCACCGGCACGAGCUUGCCCUCCUUCAUCAGCGCCUCGCACUUCUGGCCAACCUCGCUGCCGCUCUUCACCUCAGCGCGCAGCAGGUCGCCGGCGCUGAGGUGCACGCACUCAUACUCCUCCUUGAUCUGAUCGCAUUGCGUGCCCUUGCCGCUGCCGGGGCCGCCGAGCACGAACACGAUCUGGGCGUCGGCAGGCAGGCUGCCGGGCACGGGCGGCAGCGCAAACUCCUGCAUAGGGACGAAAAUGCAAUGGAAAUCAGCAAGCCGAGAUUAAUAAUCAGUGGAAACUUACGCAUCAGUACACUUGCACUUCAGUACGCAUCCUACUACCGGGAGGAUACGGUAAGGCAGGCAGGCAGAGGCCAUCGAUUUCACGCUUGCCCCAGCUUUCCGUACGAUGUACCGUAUGCUAGGUUGCUUGACCGGAACCCGUGCAAGACGCACACGGAUAUACCACCGGUGAACAGCCAUGACCGCUCACCUCCAAAGCAGCCGCAGCAGGAGUAGCCGAAACUGUCGCAGUCACGCCCGCCUUCUUCGGCGCGUGCAAGCCCUCCAGCACCACCUUCACCUUGCCGUACACAUCGUCCGGAGCCGCCACAGCGCUGAUCACGUGGCACUUGCCCUGCGUAAGGUAGUGGUCCUUCACAGGCAGCGACUGAUCCAGGAAGGUGCGGAAGCGCUUGCGAAUGGUGUCGGCGUUGUCGUCGCUGCGGCCGCUGGUCUCCCCGCGCUUCAGCAGGCGCUUCUCCAUCUCCUCCUCCGGGCAGUCGAAGAACAGCACCGUCUUGCACGGCAUGAUGCUGCUCUCAAACUGCGCCGCCUGGUCCAGCGCGCGCGGAAAGCCGUCGAUGAGGAAGAACUUGCCGCCGCUGGCUAUCAUGUCCCGCUUCAGCAGGUUAAGCGUGACAGCCACCGGCACGAGCUUGCCCUCCUUCAUCAGCGCCUCGCACUUCUGGCCGACCUCGCUGCCGCUCUUCACCUCAGCGCGCAGCAGGUCGCCGGCGCUGAGGUGCACGCACUCGUAGUCGGCCUUAAUCUUGUCGCAUUGCGUCCCCUUGCCGCUGCCGGGGCCGCCGAGCACGAACACGAUCUGGGCGUCGGCAGGCAGGUUGCCGGGCACAGGUGGCAGCGCGAUGUCCUGCAUAAAAGCAACCAAGGGAACAAACGUGCAAUCAUAAGGUGUUGGCUGUGGCGCCGACCAUGACCCAGUGCCCUUGUACACAAAGCAAUGGGGCGUGCCGUACGCGCCGCACACACAGAACAGCGGUUUGGUGGCUGGAAACAUAAGAUGCGGCACGGUAUCCCUAUCUGCAGGUCGGCUUCUCAAGUGUUCAACUUAGGCAAGACGCACCUCCGAAGCAGCCGGGGCCGCUGCAAGUGCCGUCGCCGCUGCGCUCGCCUUCUUCGGCGCGUGCAAGCCCUCCAGCACCACCUUCACCUUGCCGUACACAUCGUCCGGAGCCGCCACAGCGCUGAUCACGUGGCACUUGCCCUGCGUAAGGUAGUGGUCCUUCACGGGCAGCGACUGAUCCAGGAAGGUGUGGAAGCGCUUGCGAAUGGUGUCGGCGUUGUCGUCGCUGCGGCCGCUGGUCUCCCCGCGCUUCAGCAGGCGCUUCUCCAUCUCCUCCUCCGGGCAGUCAAAGAACAGCACCGUCUUGCACGGCAUGAUGCUGCUCUCAAACUGCUCCGCCUGGUCCAGCGCGCGUGGAAAGCCGUCGAUGAGGAAGAACUUGCCGCCGCUGGCUAUCAUGUCCCGCUUCAGCAGGUUGAGCGUGACAGCCACCGGCACGAGCUUGCCCUCCUUCAUCAGCGCCUCGCACUUCUGGCCAACCUCGCUGCCGCUCUUCACCUCAGCGCGCAGCAGGUCGCCGGCGCUGAGGUGCACGCACUCAUACUCCUCCUUGAUCUGAUCGCAUUGCGUGCCCUUGCCGCUGCCGGGGCCGCCGAGCACGAACACGAUCUGGGCGUCGGCAGGCAGGCUGCCGGGCACGGGCGGCAGCGCAAACUCCUGCAUAGGGACGAAAAUGCAAUGGAAAUCAGCAAGCCGAGAUUAAUAAUCAGUGGAAACUUACGCAUCAGUACACUUGCACUUCAGUACGCAUCCUACUACCGGGAGGAUACGGUAAGGCAGGCAGGCAGAGGCCAUCGAUUUCACGCUUGCCCCAGCUUUCCGUACGAUGUACCGUAUGCUAGGUUGCUUGACCGGAACCCGUGCAAGACGCACACGGAUAUACCACCGGUGAACAGCCAUGACCGCUCACCUCCAAAGCAGCCGCAGCAGGAGUAGCCGAAACUGUCGCAGUCACGCCCGCCUUCUUCGGCGCGUGCAAGCCCUCCAGCACCACCUUCACCUUGCCGUACACAUCGUCCGGAGCCGCCACAGCGCUGAUCACGUGGCACUUGCCCUGCGUAAGGUAGUGGUCCUUCACAGGCAGCGACUGAUCCAGGAAGGUGCGGAAGCGCUUGCGAAUGGUGUCGGCGUUGUCGUCGCUGCGGCCGCUGGUCUCCCCGCGCUUCAGCAGGCGCUUCUCCAUCUCCUCCUCCGGGCAGUCGAAGAACAGCACCGUCUUGCACGGCAUGAUGCUGCUCUCAAACUGCGCCGCCUGGUCCAGCGCGCGCGGAAAGCCGUCGAUGAGGAAGAACUUGCCGCCGCUGGCUAUCAUGUCCCGCUUCAGCAGGUUAAGCGUGACAGCCACCGGCACGAGCUUGCCCUCCUUCAUCAGCGCCUCGCACUUCUGGCCGACCUCGCUGCCGCUCUUCACCUCAGCGCGCAGCAG